CUAGUUCUUUGAAAUGUGAUGUCAGGUCCUUAAUAUGUAAGCUUUCUAUUUUUUUGAUGCAGGCCUUUAGGCUAUUAACUUCCCUCUUAGUACUACAUUUGAUGUAUCUCACAGGUUUUAUUAUAUUGUGUUUCUAUUUCCAUCUUUUUUCCCACAAAUUUUUAAUUUUCAUCUUAAUUUUUUUUUUUUUUUUUUUUUUUUUUGAGAUAGGUUUUACACUGUCACCCAGGCUGGAGUGUAGUGGCACAGUGUUGGCUCACUGCAACUUCCGCCUUCCAGGCUCAAACGAUCGUUUUAUAUUAGCCUCCCGAGUAGCUAGGACCAUAGGUGCACACCACCACACCUAGCUAUUUUUUCAUAUUUUUUUUUGUAGGGACAGGGUUUUGCCAUGUUGCCCAGGCUAAGGUUAAACUUCUUACCUCAGGUGGUCCACCUGUCUCAGCCUCCCAAAGUGCUGGGAUUACAGGUGUGAGCCACCACCCCUGGUCAACCAUCAUAAUUACUUCAUUUACAUAGUCACUGUUGAGGAGUAUGUUAUUUAAAUUCUUUGUAAAUUUAUAGUUUCUGAAAUUUCUGUUGAUACUGAUUUGUAGUUUUAUUCUACUGUGGUCUAAGUAGGUAGUUCGUAUAAUUUUGAUUUGGGGGGAUACUUUGUUGAUUUGCCAAAUUUCCUAUCUCAAUGGUCUCUCUAAUGCUGUGAGUAGAAUGUUGAAUUUCUCCACUAUUAUUGUAUUACUGUCUAUCUCGUUCUAUAGAUUUAAUAAUAUUUCUUUGUAAAUCAGGGUGCUGUGAUGUUGGGUUCAUAUAUAUUUAGAAUUGUUAUAUCUUUUGGCUGAAAUGAUUUCUUUAUUAUUGGAUGAUGAUCUUCUUUAUCCUUUUUUGUUACAGCUUUUUAAUUUAAAGUCUGUUUUAUUUGAUGUAAGUAUAGAUACUACUAUUUACUUUUGGUUUCUGUUUGUGUUAAUAUAUUCCCCCCCAUUUGCCUUUAAUCUAUAUGUGUCUUACAAGUAAGGUGAGAUUUUUGUAGGCAACAUAGAUUUGCGUUAUUUUUUCUCAUUCAUUUCAUAAAUCUAUACUUUUUUUUUUUUUUGAGACAGAGUCUUGCUCCAUCGCCAGGCUGGAGUGCAGUGGCGCAAUCUCGUCCCACUGCUCACUGCAACCUCUGCCUCCCCUAUUGAAGUGAUUCUCCUGUCUCAGCCUCCUGAGUAGCUGGGACUACAGGCACACACCACCACGCUCAGCUAAUUUUUGUAUUUUCAGAAGAGACGGGGUUUCAUCAUAUUCACCAGGCUGGUCUUGAUCUCUUGACCUCGUGAUACCCUCACCUCACCCUCCCAAAGUGCUGGGACUACAGGCGUGAGCCACCGCACCCAACCAAAUCUAUACAUUUCAAUGAAGCAUUUAAUUUAUUUAUAUUCAAGGUAAAUAUUAAUAUGUAAGGUUUUGUUACUAUCAUAAUGUUAAUUAUUUUCUUGUCUUAUUUUUUCUUUUUAUCUGUCUUUGUAGUUUAAUAAAAUUCUGUCAUGUUGUGAUUUGAUUUCACUUUGUUUUGUUUUGUAAGACCUGUUAGUUUUAUACUUUUAUAUAUUUUAAUAAUGGUGGAUAUCAAUCUCUUGUUUUUAUAUUAGAAUUUUUUUUAACAUCUUUCAUAGGCCCAGUCUAGUGGUAAUUAGUUUCCCCAGCAUUUAUUUGUCAGGGUAAGACUUUAUAUUCUUCAUUUGUGAAGGUUAUUCUAACUUGAUAUAAAAUUUUUGGCUGGCAGUUUUCUUUUUUUUCAGCACUCUAAAAGUGCCAUCCCAUUCUCUUCUGGUCAGUAAAGUUUCUGCUGAGAAGUCUGCUUUUAAUCUAAUGUGGUUUUCUUUAUAAAUUACUAGAUGCUUUUCUUUUGCUUAUUUUAGAAUUACUUCCUUCACUUUGACUUUAGAUAUUCUGAUUAUCAUGUGCCAUUAUGAUGUCUGUUUUGCAAUAUAUUUUGUUUAUAUUUUGUUGUAUUUUGUUUGCUGAGCUUCCUGUGUAUGUAUGUCUAAUUCUAUUGCUAGAGUUGGAAAGUUUUCAUCAAUUGUUUUCUUAAAUAGGUUUUCUAAACUUUUUGAUGUUUUUUCUUCCUCAGAAACACUGAUAAUUUUGAAGUUUAGUUACUUCAUGUAGUCGGAAACAAAGUCUUCAUUCAUUCUUUUUUAUUCUUUUCUCCUUAUUUUUGUCUGAGUGUAUUAUUUUAAAAGACCUGUUUAAAGGUUUGAAAAUUCUUUUUAUGUUUCUUCCAGUCUAUUAUUGAAUCUUUGAAUGUAUUUUCUUUUGCCUGCAAUAAAUCUUCAGUUCCAU
rnacentral:sRNA from 1 species